UGCGUAGGCGGCCCGGAAAGUUGGGUGUGAAAGCCCUCGGCUCAACCGAGGAAUUGCGCCCAAAACUACCGGGCUCGAGGGAGAUAGAGGUGAGCGGAACUUAGGGUGGAGCGGUGAAAUGCGUUGAUAUCCUAAGGAACACCAGUAGCGAAAGCGGCUCACUGGGUCUUUUCUGACGCUGAGGCACGAAAGCUAGGGGAGCGAAGAGGAUUAGAUACCCUCGUAGUCCUAGCCUUAAACGAUGAGCACUGGUUUGGAGGGUCCUCCAUAGCCCUCCAGACGUAGCGAAAGUGUUAAGUGCUCCGCCUGGGGAGUAUGGUCGCAAGGCUGAA
rnacentral:rRNA from 1 species